CAUGGGGUACCUUAAUACUGCCAUCAGAGACCGCAUAUUCCAACAUAUAGCUAAGUCCUUCCAUUGCAAUUGUAAAGAGAUAUGGAGAGAGUGGAUAGCCUUGUCGGAUGCCAUUCUUGCUCCCAAAAAACCAAUAGGUGAGCCGUUGAAGAGUAUUGAAAACUUUGGAGUUUCUAAGCAACAUUGAAUCCAAUUAACCCAUUG
rnacentral:lncRNA from 1 species